rnacentral:rRNA from 1 species
GCCGCACUGUCCUAACGUUGUUCGGAAUCACUGGGCUUCAAGGGCGCGUAGGCGGUCCGCCAAGUCGGGGGUGAAAUCCUGCAGCUUAACUGCAGAAGUGCCUUCGAUACUGUCGGUCUUGAGGGAGAUAGGGGUGUGCGGAACUUCCAGUGGAGCGGUGAAAUGCGUUGAUAUUGGAAGGAACGCCGGAGGCGAAAGCGGCGCACUGGAGCUCUACUGACGCUGAGGCGCGAAAGCGUGGGGAGCAAACAGG